UCCUCCGUAGCUCAAUCGGCAGAGCAUUCGGCUGUUAACCGAAGGGUUACUGGUUCGAGUCCAGUCGGAGGAG
rnacentral:tRNA from 5 species